CUUAGAGUGGGGUCGGUUCAAAAUCUCAAGGAAAAAGGCCUAUCCAAGGAACUGAAUUGGGAUCCACUAUUUUUAUACAGGCGGGUGAAACGCUGAAAGGCCCUAAUGAGACCCAUGAGCAGUAUGGCCCAACCGUGUUGACUCAGGCCGCUAUAGCCCAAUCGAACCCAGUCCUGGGGGGUCUGCUUCUUCCCAUUCUCACGCGAAAAACCCUUCGAAUUUAGGACUGUGACAGUGGCAGUUACGCCCCAAACUGCUGCUUUUAAGUCCAAUUCUUCUUCCCAUUUUAAUACAAUGUAUGAAGGGUUGUUAGAAGUGUCAGUCAAAUUGAAAGAAGGUGUUUUGAAUCACUCAAACCAUUCAGCUGUUACUUUUAAGGAGAACAUGCAUCCGAAUCCAGGUUCUGUUAUGGGUGUUGCUCAGCAGAAUUUUUUGGGUAGAGAAGGAGUGGCUGCUGAUUUGCGAAUCGAUGGAGAAAAAGUAGGUGGAGGUCAUAGAGGUAGAAAGCUCAGCAAAACCAUUAGAGACAGAGGGAACCUUUUUAAAUCUUCGACUUCACGAAUCCCCUUGCCUGAUUCGGUUAACAAUUUGGUUGAGUUUAUUACCUCACAAAUCGAGAAGGAGACAGCUCAAGAAGGACCAAAAAAGGCCGGAAAAUAGAUGGGUCUUAAGGAUGCCUCUCGACAAUGAGGGGUGCUCGAAUGCAAAGUUGCCUCGUAUUUAUAGGGAAUAUAAGUUAGCAUAAGUCAGAUAUUAUUAGCUUAUUGCAGCCGAGGGUGAGUGGUGGGAAAGCAGAUGAAAUUAUUGCAAGGUUGGGAUUUCAGCAUUCUCAUCGGGUUGAAGCUAUUGGGUUUUCUGGUGGCAUUUAGCUUGGGUGGAAAAUUUUGGUUAGGCUGGAAGUGGUACUAAAUCAUCCUCAGUUUAUUGUGGCACGAGUCUUUAGCAUUAUCCCGUCAUAAUUUAUUUUAAUUGCUUUGUAUAUGGGAGUCAUGUAAGAAGAAAAGGAGAAUGCUUUGGGAGGAUUCCAGACCCUAUGUUCCUUCUGAGCCGAUUCCUUUGAUGGCUAUUGGCGACUUUAAUGCAAUUCUCUCUUCAAAUGACAAA